GCCUCGUUAGCUCAGCGGUUAGAGCACUGGUCUUGUAAACCAGGGGUCGAGAGUUCAAUUCUCUCACGGGGCU
rnacentral:tRNA from 1 species